rnacentral:rRNA from 1 species
UGGGGAAUUUUGGACAAUGGGCGAAAGCCUGAUCCAGCAAUGCCGCGUGUGUGAAGAAGGCCUUCGGGUUGUAAAGCACUUUUGUCCGGAAAGAAAUGGCUCUGGUUAAUACCUGGGGCCGAUGACGGUACCGGAAGAAUAAGGACCGGCUAACUACGUGCCAGCAGCCGCGGUAAUACGUAGGGUCCAAGCGUUAAUCGGAAUUACUGGGCGUAAAGCGUGCGCAGGCGGUUGUGCAAGACCGAUGUGAAAUCCCCGAGCUUAACUUGGGAAUUGCAUUGGUGACUGCACGGCUAGAGUGUGUCAGAGGGGGGUAGAAUUCCACGUGUAGCAGUGAAAUGCGUAGAGAUGUGGAGGAAUACCGAUGGCGAAGGCAGCCCCCUGGGAUAACACUGACGCUCAUGCACGAAAGCGUGGGGAGCAAACAGGAUUAGAUA